rnacentral:rRNA from 1 species
GGGUUGUGAGGUUAAGCGACUAAGCGUACACGGUGGAUGCCCUGGCAGUCAGAGGCGAUGAAGGACGUGCUAAUCUGCGAUAAGCGCCGGUAAGGUGAUAUGAACCGUUAUAACCGGCGAUUUCCGAAUGGGGAAACCCAGUGUGAUUCGUCACACUAUCGUUAACUGAAUACAUAGGUUAACGAAGCGAACCGGGGGAACUGAAACAUCUAAGUACCCCGAGGAAAAGAAAUCAACCGAGAUUCCCCCAGUAGCGGCGAGCGAACGGGGAGCAGCCCAGAGUCUGAAUCAGCAUGUGUGUUAGUGGAACGGUCUGGAAAGUCCGACGGUACAGGGUGAUAGUCCCGUACACAAAAAUGCACAGGUUGUGAACUCGAAGAGUAGGGCGGGACACGUGGUAUCCUGUCUGAAUAUGGGGGGACCAUCCUCCAAGGCUAAAUACUCCUGACUGACCGAUAGUGAACC